AGUGAACGCUGGCGGUAGGCCUAACACAUGCAAGUCGAACGGCAGCACAGUAAGAUCUUGCUCUUACGGGUGGCGAGUGGCGGGCGGGUGAGGAAUACAUCGGAAUCUACUUUUUCGUGGGGGAUAACGUAGGGAAACUUACGCUAAUACCGCAUACGACCUACGGGUGAAAGCAGUGGAUCUUCGGACCUUGCGCGAUUGAAUGAGCCGAUGUCGGAUUAGCUAGUUGGCGGGGUAAAGGCCCACCAAGGCGACGAUCCGUAGCUGGUCUGAGAGGAUGAUCAGCCACACUGGAACUGAGACACGGUCCAGACUCCUACGGGAGGCAGCAGUGGGGAAUAUUGGACAAUGGGCGCAAGCCUGAUCCAGCCAUACCGCGUGGGUGAAGAAGGCCUUCGGGUUGUAAAGCCCUUUUGUUGGGAAAGAAAAGCAGCAGGUUAAUACCCCGCUGUUCUGACGGUACCCAAAGAAUAAGCACCGGCUAACUUCGUG
rnacentral:rRNA from 1 species